rnacentral:rRNA from 1 species
UACGUAGGGUGCGAGCGUUAAUCGGAAUUACUGGGCGUAAAGCGUGCGUAGGCGGUCCGCGAAGUCUGAUGUGAAAGCCCCGGGCUCAACCUGGGAACUGCAUUGGAAACUAACGGGCUCGAGUGUGGCAGAGGGGGGUGGAAUUCCACGUGUAGCAGUGAAAUGCGUAGAGAUGUGGAGGAACACCGAUGGCGAAGGCAGGUCUCUGGGCCACUACUGACGCUGAGAAGCGAAAGCAUGGGGAGCGAACAGG